AAUUUAAAGUCUAAUCUAAUCUGCCCCCUGAUAUAAUUAUUAAAGGGCUGCAGUAUAUUGACUGUACAAAGGUAGCAUAAUCAUUAGUCUUUUAAUUGAAGACUUGUAUGAAAGAUUUGAUGAAAUAUAAACUGUCUCUGAUUUAUUAUUAAAAUUUAAUUUUUUAGUGAAAAAGCUAAAAUUUAUUUAAAAGACGAGAAGACCCUAUAGAGUUUUAUAAUUAAAUUAUUUAUUAAUAAAUAUAAAAUAUAAAAUAGUAAUUAGUUUAGUUAUUUUAUUGGGGUGAUAGAAAAAUUAAAUAAACUUUUUUUUAAUUAAAACAUUAAUAAGUGAAUAAAUGAUCCAUUAUUAAUGAUUAUAAGAAAAAAUUACCUUAGGGAUAACAGCGUAAUAUUUUUUUUUAGUACAAAUAAAAAAAAAAGUUUGCGACCUCGAUGUUGGAUUAAGAUAAAAUUUAAAUGUAAAAGUUUAAAAUUUUGAUCUGUUCGAUCAUUAAAAUCUUACAUG
rnacentral:rRNA from 1 species